rnacentral:rRNA from 1 species
GACGAACGCUGGCGGCGUGCUUAACACAUGCAAGUCGAGCGGUAAGGCCCUUUCGGGGGUACACGAGCGGCGAACGGGUGAGUAACACGUGGGUGACCUGCCCUCAGCUCUGGGAUAAGCCUGGGAAACCGGGUCUAAUACUGGAUAUGACUCCAUGACGCAUGUUGUGGGGUGGAAAGCCUUGUGCGGCUGAGGAUGGGCCCGGCCGGCCUAUCAGCUUGUUGGUGGGGUGGAGG